UGUAACAAAGCCUGUCUUUUUUCUGUCGC
rnacentral:sRNA from 1 species